AUUGAACGCUGGCGGCAGGCCUAACACAUGCAAGUCGAGCGGAUGAAGGGAGCUUGCUCCUGGAUUCAGCGGCGGACGGGUGAGUAAUGCCUAGGAAUCUGCCUGGUAGUGGGGGAUAACGUCCGGAAACGGGCGCUAAUAACGCAUACGUCCUGAGGGAGAAAGAGGGGGAUCUUCGGACCUCACGCUAUCAGAUGAGCCUAGGUCGGAUUAGCUAGUUGGUGGGGUAAAGGCCUACCAAGGCGACGAUCCGUAACUGGUCUGAGAGGAUGAUCAGUCACACUGGAACUGAGACACGGUCCAGACUCCUACGGGAGGCAGCAGUUGGGAAUAUUGGACAAUGGGCGAAAGCCUGAUCCAGCCAUGCCGCGUGUGUGAAGAAGGUCUUCGGAUUGUAAAGCACUUUAAGUUGGGAGGAAGGGCAGUAAGUUAAUACCUUGCUGUUUUGACGUUACCAACAGAAUAAGCACCGGCUAACUUCGUG
rnacentral:rRNA from 1 species